CUGACAUGAAACGCGGUGGUAGUCCGCUUUUCGAAGAAGACUACGACAGCGAAGAUGGGCACCGGUCAGCGACGCGGCUUGUCCGGCGUGGAACGCUGGAACUCGGCUGAAGCCCGCGCACCACCAAGAGAUCCACGCGCAGACCAUCCAUCACACGACGAUAAAUGGACUUUAGCAGAGUGGUGACCUGGGUCUGUUGCCUACUACAGAAGUGCAUCAACCAGCACUCCCCUCCCGAAGCGACUUUGAGACACUGCUGUCACAGACGUUGAGGACAUCGCUGGAGACAGAUGAGGUGCUGCAGAAAGUGCCAGAUAGGGGGCUUCAGCAAAACCCCUUUGCAACGAACGUAAUCUCUAGAAAAAGGGAUGAAAACAUCACUGCUCAUCAGCCGGGACUACUUGGUGCUUUACUACAGCAUGGAAUACCUUCGCAUUACCUCGCCUGUAAUGAAACCGGUCGCGAUGAAGAGCGUGGGGGUGGUUGCUUCCCCGUAAAAGGAGAACAAAACAAA